GAUGAAGAACGCAGCGAAAUGCGAUAAGUAAUGUGAAUUGCAGAAUUCAGUGAAUCAUCGAAUCUUUGAACGCGCAUUGCGCCCGUCAGUAUUCUGGCGGGCAUGCCUGUUCGAGCGUCAUUACGCCCCUCAAGUCCCCUGUGGACUUGGUGUUGGGGAUCGGCGAGGCUGGUUUUCCAGCACAGCCGUCCCUUAAAUUAAUUGGCGGUCUCGCCGUGGCCCUCCUCUGCGCAGUAGUAAAACACUCGCAACAGGAGCCCGGCGCGGUCCACUGCCGUAAAACCCCCCAACUUUUUAUAGUUGACCUCGAAUCAGGUAGGACUACCCGCUGAACUUAAGCAUAUCAAUAAGCGGAGGA
rnacentral:misc_RNA from 1 species